UACAGAGACUGCAAGCGUUAUUCGGAUUCACUGGGCGUAAAGGGUGUGUAGGCGGUUGUUUAAGGUUGGUGUGAAAUCUCCCGGCUCAACUGGGAGGGUGCGCCGAAUACUGAAUGACUAGAGUGCGGGAGAGGAAAGUGGAAUUCCUGGUGUAGCGGUGAAAUGCGUAGAUAUCAGGAGGAACACCGGUGGUGUAGACGGCUUUCUGGACCGUAACUGACGCUGAGACACGAAAGCGUGGGUAGCAAACAGG
rnacentral:rRNA from 1 species